rnacentral:rRNA from 1 species
UACGUAGGGAGCAAGCGUUGUUCGGAUUUACUGGGCGUAAAGGGCGCGUAGGCGGCAGAUCAAGUCAGCUGUGAAAUCUCCGAGCUUAACUCGGAACUGUCAGCUGAUACUGUUCUGCUAGAGUGCGGAAGGGGCAAUCGGAAUUCUUGGUGUAGCGGUGAAAUGCGUAGAUAUCAAGAGGAACACCUGAGGUGAAGACGGGAUGCGGUUGGGCCGUGGAC